rnacentral:misc_RNA from 1 species
GUAGGUGAACCUGCGGAAGGAUCAUUACAGAGUGAGGGUCCACCCGGCCCGACCUCCCAACCCUUUGAUUACCGAACCUCUGUUGCUUCGGUGGGCCCGUCCUUCACGGACCGCCGGAGGAGCCGCCGCGAGGCGUCCUCUGGCCCGCUGCCCGCCGAUAGCCAACCACUAUAAACUCGAAAUAAUCGUGUCACACGUCUAAGUCAAUUGAUAAAUUGAAGCAAAACUUUCAACAACGGAUCUCUUGGUU